rnacentral:misc_RNA from 1 species
GAUGAAGAACGUAACGAAAUGCGAUAAGUAAUGUGAAUUGCAGAAUUCAGUGAAUCAUCGAAUCUUUGAACGCACAUUGCGCCCGCCAGUAUUCUGGCGGGCAUGCCUGUUCGAGCGUCAUUUCAACCAUCAAGCCCCAGGCUUGUGUUGGGGACCUGCGGCUGCCGCAGGCCCUGAAAACCAGUGGCGGGCUCGCUGUCACACCGGGCGUAGUAGAUUUUAUCUCGCUCAGGGCGUGCUGCGGGUUCCGGCCGUUAAAAAGCCUUUUUUACCCAAGGUUGACCUCGGAUCAGGUAGGAAGACCCGCUGAACUUAAGCAUAUCAAUAAGCGGAGGA